CGGUUGCGACAUCCAAAUAUUGUACUUUUUAUGGGUGCUGUCAUUCAGCCACCAAAUUUGUCCAUAGUCACGGAAUAUUUAUCGAGAGGUAGCUUAUAUAGACUUCUUCAUAAACCUGGUGCGAGAGAGGUGUUGGAUGAAAGGCGUCGCCUGUGUAUGGCUUACGAUGUGGCAAAUGGGAUGAAUUAUCUUCACAAACGCAAUCCUCCCAUUGUGCACCGAGAUUUAAAAUCUCCAAAUCUUCUAGUAGACAAAAAAUAUACAGUGAAGAUCUGUGAUUUUGGUCUUUCUCGUUUCAAAGCGAAUACAUUCCUUUCAUCAAAG
rnacentral:misc_RNA from 1 species